rnacentral:rRNA from 1 species
AGAACGAACGCUGGCGGCAUGCCUAACACAUGCAAGUCGAGCGCCCAGCAAUGGGAGCGGCGGACGGGUGAGUAACACGUGGGAAUAUGCCUUUCGGUACGGAACAACUCAGGGAAACUUGAGCUAAUGCCGUAUACGCCCUUACGGGGAAAGAUUUAUCGCCGAAAGAUUAGCCCGCGUCUGAUUAGCUAGUUGGUGAGGUAAUGGCUCACCAAGGCUUCGAUCAGUAGCUGGUUUGAGAGAACGACCAGCCACACUGGGACUGAGACACGGCCCAGACUCCUACGGGAGGCAGCAGUGGGGAAUCUUGGACAAUGGGGGAAACCCUGAUCCAGCGAUGCCGCGUGAGUGAUGAAGGCCUUCGGGUUGUAAAACUCUUUCGACGGGGACGAUAAUGACGGUACCCGUAGUAAGAAGCUCCGGCUAACUUCGCGCCAGCAGCCGC